rnacentral:lncRNA from 1 species
GCGCACUCUCGGAAGCGCAGCCGAACCCGCCCUCCGAAUCCAGAGAGGCGCUGCUGACACCGCCGCCACACCGCCGCCACACCGCCGCUGCCUCAGUCAUGCCGAAGCACGAGUUCUCUGUGGACAUGACCUGUGGAGGCUGUGCUGAAGCUGUCUCUCGGGUCCUCAAUAAGCUUGGAGGAUGCUGAUCCUCCCGCUGGCUUCCAGACAGACCUGGGACUUGGCAGUCAUGCCGGGUGAUGGUGUUCCUGCGGAGACCCUCAGUUGUCCUAUUCCUUCCUAGCUUCCCUGCAAUAAAAUCAAGCUGCUUUUGUUGG